AUAAAUAAACUAAUUUUUAGAUUCAAUUUCGGCUUGAAAUUAUGAUAUAUUUUUAUCUAUUUAUA
rnacentral:tRNA from 1 species